AUUGAACGCUGGCGGCAGGCCUAACACAUGCAAGUCGAACGAGUGGCGGACGGGUGAGUAAUGUCUGGGAAACUGCCUGAUGGAGGGGGAUAACUACUGGACACGGUAGCUAAUACCGCAUACCAUCAGAUGUGCCCAGAUGGGAUUAGCUAGUGUGGGGGGUAACUGCUCACCAAGGCGACGAUCCCUAGCUGGUCUGAGAGGUUGACCGGCCACACGGGAACGAAGCCACGGUCCAGACGCCUACGCGAGGCAGCAGUGGGGAAGAUUGCACAAUGGGCGCAAGCCUGAUGCAGCAAUGCCGCGUGUAUGAAUAAGGCCUUCGGGUUGUAAAGUACUUUCAGCUGGGAGGCGUUACCCGCAGAAGAAGCACCGGCUAACUCCGUGCCAGCAGCCGCGGUAAUUC
rnacentral:rRNA from 1 species